GUGAGGAAUUUUCCGCAAUGGGCGAAAGCCUGACGGAGCAAUGCCGCGUGAAGGAUGAAGGCCUAUGGGUUGUAAACUUCUUUUCUCAGAACAGAAUUAUGACGGUAUCUGAGGAAUAAGCAUCGGCUAACUCCGUGCCAACAGCCGCGGUAAGACAGAGGAUGCAAGCGUUAUCCGGAAUGAUUGGGCGUAAAGCGUCUGUAGGUUGUUUAAAAAGUAUUCUGUCACAGAUUAGGGCUCAACCCUAGAUAGGCAGAAUAAACUUUUAAGGUAGAGUUUGGUAGAGGCAGAGAGAAUUCCCGGUGGAGCGGUGAAAAGCGUAGAUAUCAGGAGGAACACCAAAGGCGAAGGCACUCUGCUGGGCCAAUACAAACACUGAGAGACGAAAGCGAGGGGAGCAAAUGGGAUUAGAAACCCCAGUAGUCC
rnacentral:rRNA from 1 species